rnacentral:rRNA from 1 species
UACGGAGGGUGCGAGCGUUGUCCGGAAUCAUUGGGCGUAAAGGGCGCGUAGGUGGCCUGCUAAGCGUGCGGUGAAAGCUCGGGGCUCAACCCCGAGUCGGCCGUGCGAACUGGUGGGCUUGAGCACUGUAGAGGCAGGCGGAAUUCCGGGUGUAGCGGUGGAAUGCGCAGAUAUCAGGAAGAACACCCGUGGCGAAAGCGGCUCUCUGGAACGGUACUGACGCUGAGACGCGAAAGCGUGGGGAGCGAACGGG